AACGAACGCUGGCGGCAUGCCUAACACAUGCAAGUCGAACGAGACCUUCGGGUCUAGUGGCGCACGGGUGCGUAACGCGUGGGAACCUGCCCUUAGGUUCGGAAUAACUCCCCGAAAGGGGUGCUAAUACCGGAUAAUGUCUUCGGACCAAAGAUUUAUCGCCUUUGGAUGGGCCUGCGUUGGAUUAGCUAGUUGGUAGGGUAAAAGCCUACCAAGGCGACGAUCCAUAGCUGGUCUGAGAGGAUGAUCAGCCACACUGGGACUGAGACACGGCCCAGACUCCUACGGGAGGCAGCAGUGGGGAAUAUUGGACAAUGGGCGAAAGCCUGAUCCAGCAAUGCCGCGUGAGUGAUGAAGGCCUUAGGGUUGUAAAGCUCUUUUACCCGGGAUGAUAAUGACGGUACCGGGAGAAUAAGCUCCGGCUAACUCCGUG
rnacentral:rRNA from 1 species